rnacentral:misc_RNA from 1 species
AAGUCGUAACAAGGUUUCCGUAGGUCGCUAGAGUUCAGCCUACCAAAGCAAACCUUUCAAAACUGCUAGUCUCUCCCCGAGGCGACACGCUCAAUGUUGCGGAGAGGCCCUCUUUUCAGAGGGUAAUCCGCAGCCGGCCCCCUAAAGGCUGGUUCAGAGACUCAAUGAGUGUGGGUUUGGCCUUUUGGCCAGGCUUAAGAUAGAGCCCGUCCCUGUAGGCAACUGCGGGGGAUGAACGGAACCUGCGGAAGGAUCAUUAAAGAAUCGAUGACCCUCGCGGUCCCAUUCUCACCCUUUGUA